CGACAGAUGGCAGAAGCCCUAGCGGAUCAUUUACAAAAUAAGAGUGGGACUGGCUGCGUUCUAAAUACCAUGGCAUAGAAUUGAAGUUUACAUAAUAAUAUUUUGUUAAUUAAAAUUUCACACAAGUUUUCGAGGCAUAUUCUUUUGUUACAAGUUGCAUUUUAUUUUUACUACCGGGCUCUGUAAAAUAAUGUAAGAGACUGAGACAAUUUUAUGCAUAACUGCGGACUGGUGGCGCGUCGACGUUGGUGUUCGGGAUGUGGUGCGGAUGCUACUCUGACGUGUGUGGUUUGAUGUAAUUAUGUGUAGUUUAGGGGGAGGUCAGGUGCUAAAAACAUUGUUCAAGUGUCUGCCUUUGUUUUAAAACAUGGAUAGCUGGGCCUGGGCAAACGCUAGUCAGGCAUUGGCAAACCAUGCCCAAGCGGGAGCAGUGCCAACGGCAAAUUCUACACCUCAGGCUGGCUUGGAGAACUGGGCCAACACCGGAGUGGGCUAUGGAAGCUUCGGAGCGAUGGCUAGCCAGUUUGGUGUGGCUGGAUGGAACCCCUACCAGCAAGGAGUUGUGAUGGGAGGUACCCAGGGAUUUGUGCCUGGCCAGCAGCUGUGGAACGGGCAACAACAGCAGGCUGCUCAGCAGCAACAGCAGCAGCAGCAAAUGGUUGCUGCUCAGUGGGGCCAACAUCUGGCUGCACAGGCUGUCGCCUCACCAGCGCCGUUCAGUGUACAGGUUCCACCGCCGCCGCCUCCACCACCGCCAGCGCAGCAGGCCGUCGCCUCGCCUGCACCGCCGCCGCCGGCGCCGGUACCCAUCC